AGAUUGUAGCUGAAUAAUGCAUGAUAUUUUUGUUUCCCAGAAACAGGUGUUUUGUUUUUAUUGCAUUAGCAUUAUGAGAAAAAGCUGGCUGCAGUUUCUCUGAGCUCUGAAGUGCUGGAACAGUUCUGGGUUUUAUAGGCACCCGUUGCCAGGAGCUGUCAGUGCCAGGCUCUUGGUUUCUUGACAAGGAAGCUCAUGGCCGCGUCUCACCUCCUCCGGGGAGGUGCCCGAUCCAUGUGCAGCAGUUUUACACGUCCGUCCAUUUGUUCACCAUUCACUCAUUCACUCAAUGUUCCUUUCCUGAGGGCUGCUGAGUCCUGGUGCUGGGAUGCACUUCGGGGUUACAGAGACAAAAAGACCAAGUUCCAGCCUUUAGGAAACCUGCAGUCUAUGAGGGAGACAGAGUCUCAGUCAUUGGGCCAGGUGAUGAGGGGUAAACUGAGGCACACACCAGGUGUGAUGGGCUGUGAAGGAUCAAGCCUUGAGCUCACCUGUGGGCAGGAGGAAGACCCCACUGAGGAGAGGAGAGAAUCCGUGAGUGACAGGGAGUAGAUGGGGCUGAUCAGGUGGCUGUGUGGUGGGCGGGGACCCCAAGGGGCCUGAACAGAAGUGUGACUACAGUGACUCAGAACUUGGGAGGGGCUGCCCUCGAGCCCCACCUGAUUUACGACCUGGACCCUUUGUGAUUUUGGCUGAAGAGAGGCAGUCGACUCCUUUAAAACAUGGAAUGAAACCCCAGAAGCAGGAACAGGCCAGCGGUGGUUAAUGAGUGAAACAGAUGGGAGUCUUAAUUAGAGCAAGAGCAGGGCUAAUUUGACGAUCAGUGCUUCCCUGAGCAUAUGGCCCAGAGAUACUUCCACCCACGCUGAGGGAGACAGUGUGCAGAGUGGGAAUGGCCACGUGUGUGGGAAGUGGGGUUUGGAAGGGUUUGUUCCCCUGCCCAUGCCCUCUACUCCACUGCCAGCUUCUACAUUUUGUUAGCUUCUUUUUCAUCCUCUGCCUGUGUCAGAGGGAGGGCUUCUCUGAGGAACUGACUUGCAGGGCAUGGCCUCGAACUGACAUGUGGGGAUUUUGCCACACAGCCCUAAGGAAAGCCGAUGAUGACUUAGCGACUCUCACCACAGGCUUCCGACUGCUAAGACCCUGAGUGUGGGCCUGUGAAAAGGGCAGGUGGGAGGGGGAUGCUUGCCAGAGCCACCUCUGACUCCAGGUUAACUGGGGCCACAUCUCCCAAGAACCCUGGGUGGACUCUCACAAAUCCCUCAGGUCAGCAGCCAGCCCUACAGGGCCUGCCUUUGGAUAAUAGUUCUUCAGGAGGAGCAUAGCACUGGGUCCUGUGCCAUCUGGCAAUAUUGCUCCUUUCCCAUUAAAUCCAGUGGUUCUCAAAGUGGGGUUCCUGGGCCAGCAGCAUCAGCAUCACCUGGAAACUUGGUAGAAAUACAAAUGGUCAGUCCUGCCUCCCAGACCUGCUCAGACACUCUGGGGGCAGAACCCAGCAAUCUAUGUUUUAACAAACCCUCUGGGUGACUCCCACGCAUGCUGACAUUUAAGACUCUGCUAUAAUAAGCCCUAGGAGAUUUCUUCACACUAAAUAGUGCUUGGAAGGAUCAGUGUAUCCUGACAACAUCCUGUACUCUUUAGAGAAAUGGAACUGGGCACUCUGAGAUUCUGCAUUUUCAUCUUCUGUGAUAAGUGGAACCUUUGGACUCUCCUCAAAUCCUGUCAGUGAGCAGAAAGGAUCCUGACAGAUGCGAUGGUCUACAGGUUCUCAUGAUCUGGCUCUGGCCCUCUCCAACUCUAGUUUCUUUGCAAACCAUGCUGCAUAUCCUCUUGGGGUUCAGAUCACUUGGAGGGAUCUUAAAGAAGUUCAGCACGGAGCCAGAUGGCCUGGUUCAAAUUCUAGCACUGCCACUCAUGAGCUGUAUAACCUUAGGGUCCUGGCAGAAGACACCACGAACCAGGGACAGCUUCUUCUACAGCCCCACCUUGAUGAAUUAUCCACAGCUUCACAAGUGUGGACCCGCAGCGGGGAGAGCAUCCCCAAGUCACUUUAAAGGUGAAGGACAGGAAAGACUCCCAAGAUAGAAAGUCAAGGUGCGGCAUCACUUUCCAUCCACCUUUUCAGGAACAGCCUUGUGAGAGUCCUGGGCUUCGUCUUUUCUUUGAGUUCUUCAGAAUGGAUGUGGGAAACAAGUGCUCCCUCCUGUAACACCAGCUCCAUCCUGAUUCCUGGAGUUGCCUAAGGCAUCCCAUCUCAGGGUUUCUCUACAUCACAGCUCAGCAGUUAUGACAUCCCAAUUAAGCCCCACUUCCAGUAAUGGGAGGGAGGUUGAGGACUUGGCAGCAGGAUGUAACUUGGGAAGAUUUAUGAAGCAAGUCAAGGGGGAACGUCUGCAUAAGCUCUUUUUUUAUCUAAGAGAUAAAGGCUUCACUACAAGGUAUUUACUGCACCUGUGAAGCUGGAGAAGAAAUCGACUCAGGAGGGUUAUUUUAUUUAAACAUCAUGGUGUUCUUCACUGUGGAAGAUCGAAGGAUGAUGAUUUAGAAUGUGACAUGCUGUGUAAAGGAGGGGUCACACCAGCUCAACAAAGCCCUCCUCCCUCCCUCAGGACCAAGCACUAAAGCCAAAUGGAUUAACCUUCUCUAUCCCAUGUCCCAGCUUCCAAAUAUGCUUCUCCCAGAGCAUCUGCCCUCAGGUUAGAAGGAACACUGGGCUCAUAUAUGGUCCUUCUUCAGUCCUGUAUCUGAGCCUGGGUCCAGAGUAAGCCCGUGUAUGUGUUACAUGUGUGCUGCCUGUGCGAGUGGCCUGUGCCUUACCUGUCUGGUUCCCAUGUGAAUUGCCCAUGGGUGUGACUUAGGGACUGCCAAUGUGUGGUACAUACGUAUGGCCUACAUGCAUAAUCCUGUGUCACCUGUGAGUGCCAUAUGUGUGCUGUUUCCUUGUGUUUGAUGUGCUGCCUGUGUGUGCUGCCUGCGACUAUAUUACCUGUGAGUGCUUCCUGUGCACUGGUGUCCGUUAUCUUUGUACGUGCUUUGUUACAUUUAUGCUGAUGUAUGUUAAAUCUGUGUUACCUGACCACCACACACCCUCCUGUGCUACUUGGCGUGUGUGUGUGUGUACAUGUGUGAUCUCUAUAUGUGUACCAUUUGGCUGCAUUUCUUUUGGUGUUUUCCCAUGUAUUAUUCAUGUGUGCUGACUACACGCUACCUGAAUUUGCUGCCUCUGUGUGUCACCCGUUUGUGUGCAGCCUGCAUGUACACUCACUUGGGUGGGUCACUUGUGUGGUGUGUCAGUGUUAUAGUGUGCGCUUCUCCUGUGUGUUGUGACGUUACCUGUGUCCAUGCCACCCAUGUUACUGAAUGUAUCACCAUCUUUUGUCACUUGUACAUGUCCCUUGCGUGUGUUGCUACUUAUUUGUGUUGCUAUGUGAGUCUCUCUGUAUCCUCUCCUGUGUGUCACUGGUCCAUGCAUGCUGCUGAGGUGUGAUUCCUGUGUAUUUCCUCUGUGACCUGUGUGUGCCCCCCCAUGUUUCCUGUGCCUCUGCUCUGUGUGUUAACAGUUUCAUGUUCCUCUAUGUGAACUACUGAUCUGAUGUUGUGGGUUAUUUGCCUAUACUGGCUGUAUGGCGGUGUCUGUGUGGUGAUGUCUGUCUCAUGAGCCUACUUGUGUGUUUUGCCAUCACUAUUAGUACCCCGAUGUGAUGUCUGGGUUUCUUCCAGGCAUGGGGCCUCAUGAAUACCCACGUGCUCCUCCCACCCUUCCCUCUACUAUGGCAAGAGGGGCAGGCAGAGACGAAGGCUGGCAGGAGAAUCCUGGGAACUCCGGGUCCUCAAGCUGCUUCCGACAGGGCCCUCCGGGUCAUGGGAAGAGCCGGCCGCUGUCCUCGCCGGGACCAGGACUGCAUUUCCUCACCUGUCGCUGGGCCCCUCCUUCCACUGGCCAGGACCCUCGGGAGCGAGCCUGAGCCACUUGCCCUCCAACCAGGGACGUCAGAGGCCCGGCUCGGGCGGCGCCCCUACUGCCGAGGUGGUGAGCACAGUGGGCCUUCUGUGGACUCGGCCCCACCUGACCCUGUCCCUCUGUCUGGCGCCGACAUGCGAGGGGACAGCGGGCUCCACGGGCUUGGGGCUGGCAUCGAGGCAGGGUUGGCCCAGGGCCACCCGCGCUGCCCUGAGGCCCCUCGUGCUCCUGACGCCCGCCCUUUCCCGGCCCCUUUCACAGCCAGGGAAACUGAGGCCAUGAGCCCAGGCUCAGGACGACAGAGGGGGAAGGGGGGAGAUCCGGGUUCUGGAUCCUGAUCCGGCUUUGUGUGGAUGAGAACUCUUCGGGCUGGAAGCCACAGAAACCCUCGAAUGAGCUCAAGGAAAUAAAAGCGAGCAGGGGACCUGGCCUUGGCAACACUGCAGCACAGGCCUGGCUGCAGGCUCGGCUGGAUCCAGGGCUCCAGUGAUGUUGUUUUCCAUCUCAAAUCUGGGCCUUCAGCUGCUCUGGCCCUGCUAAUGACCCAAUCUAGGGCCUGCGCCCCUCAGAGUGCCCCUCAGGGGCCCCUCAAUAGGGCAAGAUGGCAGCUACAGUCCCUUCCAGUUCCUCUCAUAGGAGAGGCUCUCCCGCUCCUCCUGGCCUGCACUCUGAUUGGACUGGCUGGGCCUUGUGGUCAGCCCUGCACCAAUCACAGGUCCGGAGCACAACCCGUGGAAAGUGUAAGAGCCUUUCUCAUUGGCCAGGGGACAAACCCUGAUGCUCACUCUGAUUGGACUUGCUCAGGCCAUGUGACCAGCCCUGCACCAAUCACAGAGCCAGAAUACAGUGGCUUCGCACCACAGCCGGGACCGCAGGCCUCUCCAGAGACCAAGGGCAUCAGUGGGGGUGCCAGGGUCCCUGCUAGGGGUGGGCGGGCUCCUGAGUGAAACUCCCGCGGUCCUGGAAGGAGGGAGCGAGACCCUCCGCGUAUGUGGAGUCUGUGCCCCGAGGUCCCACAUGGGGACUGGGAACGAAGAGAGGGACUGCUGUCGGGGGCUCAGCUCCUCACGCCUGCCCGGGCACCGGGCACCGCGCUCAGGCCGGCGGGACGGUCCUGGUGGGGCUCGGCGCCCCUCGUCCUGCGCCUCCUCCGGGCCCGCGGGUCCUCGGCUCCCGCAGCCCCGCCGCGGGCCGCAUGUCUCUGGACGGCGCUGUCAGGAGUAGGUGUUCAGCAUCCGCGCCAGGACCCGGGCUCUGUGGUCAUUGAGUGCAGAACACACCGAGCUUCAGAGGUCUGGGAGUUCCAAGUGGAUUUUGAAUUUUUAAUCUAUUUGUCUGAUUCGUGAACUUGGAAGCUGACAUCACGCAGACGUCCCAAGGUAUCAGCUGCAGAUAUGCACGUGAACGCCGGCAGGAGGCUCCAGGCCUGGGAUUUCCGCUCGAUCUGGGAAUGAGAAAUGCAACCUGAUGACACCCGGAGCUCCUGAAUCACCCGGGGAAAAGGACGAGAGAGACUCUCUGGUGGGAACGUCUCCUAGAAACAAGGCCUAAGAUGGGGCGACAACAGCCCCGCACCUGUGUCCAGAUGGGUGGACCACUCGCCCAUGCUGACAGGUCUGUCCAGUGGUGGAGAAAGGGUACAGACCCCACGGCCCUGCGGUCCACCCUUAGUGCAGGGGGAGAGAGGGAAUCCACGUCAGCAGUCAAGGAGCUGGAAUCUGAAAUGGCCAAGGCUGAGCCCUGCACAGCACCCAGACCUCCAUGUGCCUCCAGAAACAUCCGAGGUUGGGCCUUCCUUGAGAUACCGUUCAACUUCAAGGCUCUUUUCACCUGAGCUCCCUGGAAGCUGCUCCAGACCCCCAGUCAACCCUGCUGCUCCCCCUCUGUCCCCACAACGCAGAGUGUGGCCCCAUUGCAGAGACUGCUUUUUCCCCGUGUAUGGGAGUCAGUCACCCCCACCUGGAAGAAUGGGAUUGUUGAAUUGAGGCAUCGUGGGUGAAUUGAGGCUUCCAUCCCAGAGCGUUUGAUUUGAGUGGUGAGUCUCUCCAGAACCCACUCCCUCUGGCACGCAGAGGGCAGCAGCAGCAGGGGCCUGCAGUGGUUACAGUGAGCAGAGAAUCCCUGUGAAUCUGCCAUGGACACGGCACAGGGAAGAAACUGACAGUGGCCUUUUAAGCCCUGGAGAGUUGGGGAUUGCUUGUUACUGCCUGAAACCUUUGCUUUGCAUGGAUUAGCCAAAGGCAGCUCUUGUAACAGAAGAGCAGUCUUGGACAGCAGUCAGACGUAGUUUCUUUCUAGUCACAUUUGGCUUGUCUGUUGCCCAGGUCCAGCUGUUGUUCUGUUAUCUCGCAUUCCAGGGCCCAGAGCUGUCACUCACCUUUAUUCCCUCUAACAACCUCUUUUGCAAGGAUUAGGGUUCAUUUAUUAUUUGCAACUGGUACAUCUGUUUCAUUAAUUCUGAUUUAUUCUCCUUAUCAUUCUGUUUAUUCUUAUUUCCAACUACUUUUUAAAUAUUUUAUUUAUAUUUUGUUUCAAUUUCUCCUGUUUAUGCCAUAGAAUUGGGGUUUCGUUCUAGCGUUGUUGUCCAUUAAUCUCUCCUCUGGGCUCUCAGAUGGUUUUUCAAAGCUCAUGAACAUGGGUUAGAGCAUCUCUAAUGAGUUAUCACCUCUGAAUGGAGAGUUCACAAUUUAUAAACAGGGGAUCUUAGGCUCAGAGUGUGUGCUCUCUAAAUCUGUUAGACCUGUACUUAGGUCAAUAAGACUGAGGGGCAGGUACACAACUAUUUCAUUAAUUUAAAAGUUUAGAAAAACAAAUCUUAUAACACUGAUUGGCACUGUAUGAAUUUUAAAGAAGACAUACAUGUUUAAAGCUAUACAUUGUAGAAAUAGAAGAGAUCAAAUAAAACCAAUAUUCAGAAUCACAUUCAGACUUUACACAGAACCAUUCGACAUCUGCCACUGGUCAGUGUCUACAUUUAUAAGUUAACACGAGUGGUUUCCAUUAAUCACUGGGAUGGUGCACACUCCCUGCCUAGAGUGAUCACAUGAAAAUCUACCCCACAAACGCUGACGAACAGGCUUCAGACUGAUGUGUGGAAAUGACCCAUAUUGGUGAGAACUUCCCGUGUGUUGGAGCACCAGGCACUCAUAUGCCUUGCCUGGUCUCAGUGAAUCCUCACACGGGCCUAUAGGACAGGUAUGAUGUUAUCCCUAUUUACAGGUGAAGAAUCUAAGUUCCAGAAUUGGCCAUGGUCUUGUGUUUAAUGGGGAAGACAGGACAGCUCUCUACUAGCGCAUAUCCUUAGGAUACUGUGAUUGGUGGGUACACAGAAUUGGAAAAGAAAGACACUGGGAACCAUGAGGAUGGUAUUGAAUGGAUGUGGUUCAUCCCAUUCAUCCCCAGGGUGUGGGGUCACUGGUACCCUCCUGGACCUUGUUGAAGCCUCAUUUAUCAUCCAACAGCUCUUCAUUGAGCACCUACCACAUGCCAGGGAAUGUUCUGGAAAGUGGGAAUGAGACACUCAACAGGUCAGAUACGGUUUCUGCCCUUAUGGAGUUAAUGUUAUGGGGGCAGAGGCUGACAAUAAGCAAGUAACAGAAUCAUGGACACAAUGAUUCCAGGUGGUGAUGUGUGUUCUGAGGACAGUGUUGCAGGGUAGCAGUAGGGAGUGUGUCUGUGCAUGUGUGUGUAAGUGUGUAGAUGUGUGUUUAUAUACAAACAUAAAUGCAGUUUGUGUGGGUGGACUUGUAAGUAGGUGUGUGUGUGUAUAUGUGAAUUUAUAGGGGUUUAUGUGUAUCCGUAAGUGUGGAGGGGUGUGUAGGUGUUUGUGUUUUUAUGUGUGUGUGUGUACAUGCAUGCUAAUUUAGAAAGAAUGGUCAAGGGAAGCUUUCUGGGAGUUCAGUGAAGCUGAGGUGUUGGGGAAAAGUAUUACAGGAAGAGCAAAUGGCAAGAACAAACGAGCUAAGGUGGGACCUGGGCUGGAGUGUGGAGAGAAGAGAAAUUUUCAUUAGAGAUGUGGAAAGCAGUGUACGUGGGGCCAGGUCCUAUGAGGAGCAGCAGCCUGAAGUAAGGGGUUUAGGUUUCUAUUCUGAUUCCCAUGAGAAGCCCUUGGGGUUUUUUCAAAACCACAUUUAUUAAGGGUAAUUGAUAUGUAAUAAUCUGCACAUUAAGUUUGAUAAAGCUUGAUAAGGUUUGACACAUGCACACACCCAUGAAACCGUCAUCACAGUCAAGGUCGUGAACAAAGCCCAUUACUCUCCAAACCUUCCUCCAACCACGCCCUCACUUGCAUGACGAACAGAGAGUGCGGGCAUUUGACACCCUCCGGGAACAGCCUCCCACUGAUGACUGAUGGGAAUUGGUAUAUCAGUACCCCAACUCCCUCAUCCUUAGGGGGAGGAUAACUCUGAGGCGUAUGUCCUGCCUGGAUUCUCAGAUUUCCCAGUGGGAUAAAGCUCUGGUUGCCCCAGAGGUAACACUUGAAAACAAAUUGUUUACUAACUGCCCCCUCAUCCUGCCUCAUUCUCCCUUCUCUUACCAGUGUUUCCUGGGGUCACCUAGCAAAUACACUGCUAGUCCUGAAUCUUGGUCCCAGGCCUGCUUGUUCCUGGGGGGCAAAAACUAAGAUGAUAUAUAUUAGAGGCAGACCUUGUAGGACCUACAGGAGAUUAGACAUGGGGUGUGAGAUGAUGAGGGAGGUAAUGGAUGAAAUCUACAGUUUUUGGCCUGAACAUGAAGGCAGCACUGCUGUAGACUCAUGGAUUUUAUAAAAGGAAAACAUUCCAGAAUUGGGAAAAUACCAGUAAAAUCUCGAGAGUCACAUUAUCUAAAUUCUUCCUUGGCAGCCCCAGGACGACGGGCUGUGAAUAUUCCAUCAGUUCAGUUGCCCCAAACUGCGGAUGUCUUCUGUGGGUCUUUUCAUUCCUGCCUUACAGCAUUAGAAAAUCUCUCUUUCUAUCAUCUGUUGGCAAUGGAAUAUUCAAAUAACUUCCAAUGAGCAGGAUUUGUGUGUAAAAUGUUCAGACACUGUCCUCAAAAUAAUUUCAUUAGCCACCUCAUUUUC